rnacentral:rRNA from 1 species
GAUAUGAACUCUCCGAAAAAAUUACGCUGUUAUCCCUAAGGUAAGUUAAUCUUAUAAUCAAAAAUUCUGGAUCAAAAAAACAUAAAUUAAUGAAUAAAAUAUUAAAAGUUAAAUAAAUUUUAAUGUCACCCCAACAAAACUUUAUAUUCUAAAAAAUUGUUUAAUAAACAAAAAACAAUAAUUAAUAAAUAAAGUGAACUUCUAUAGGGUCUUCUCGUCCUAUAAAAAAAUUUUAGCUUUUUAACUAAAAAAUUAAAUUCAAAAUAAUUAAAAAAAGAAAGUUUAUUUUUCAUCAAACCAUUCAUACUAGCCUUCAAUUAAAAGACAAAUGAUUAUGCUACCUUCGUACAGUUAAAAUACCGCAGCCUUUUAAUUCAUAAAAAUCAAUGGGCAGGUCUGAUCUUAAAUUGAAAUCAAAAGACC